rnacentral:rRNA from 1 species
UACGGGGGGAGCAAGCGUUGUUCGGAUUUACUGGGCGUAAAGGGCGCGUAGGCGGCCAGGUAGGUCUGCUGUGAAAACUCGAGGCUUAACCUCGAGAUGUCGGCGGAAACCAUCUGGCUAGAGUCCGGAAGAGGAGAGCGGAAUUCCUGGUGUAGCGGUGAAAUGCGCAGAUAUCAGGAGGAACACCCGUGGCGAAGGCGGCUCUCUGGGACGGUACUGACGCUGAGACGCGAAAGCGUGGGGAGCGAACAGG